rnacentral:lncRNA from 1 species
GCAAAAGCGGAGGGCAGCUGCCGGUUGCUAUUGGUACCGCUAGCUAGAAUGGCUGCGGGGGCCGUACGCGGCUGCUCAUACCUUUAAUCCCAGCACUUUCGGAGGUUGAGGCGGGAAGAUCUGUUGCGUCCAGCUCAAGGCCAGCCUGGACAACAUAGACCACCCCUGUCUCUACAAAAAAAUAAAAAAGAAAUAAAAAAGAAAUUAGCCGGGCGUGGUGGCGCGCUCCAGUAGUCCUAGCUACUCCCAGCUACGCCGGAGGCUGAGGCGGAGAGGUCGCUUGAGCUCGGUAGGUCGAGGCUGCAGUGAGCCAUGAUCGCGCCACUGCACUCAGCCUGGGCGACAGAGUGAGACUCUGUCUCAAAGAAGGAAAAAAAAGAAUGACGGCGGGGGUGUUCUUUUCCCCCUCUGCGGGCCUUUAAGCUUCGCGGCGUUGUGUUGCUGUUCUGCUGCGAGCUGCGGUCUAACUAAUCGAGGCGCUUAGAACCCGGAGGGAGUUCGAAAAGCCGACUGAAGGUGAGGUGGGAGGGUAGAUGAGAAGAGGCUGCGGCGGCUGCGACCACGGUCUCAAUGCCGCUGAAUUCAUCUUUGUCCUGAGGCGCGGCUCUUGGAGAGCCUUGUGGGUGACUCCGAUGCGCCGCAGCACCCGCAUUUACUCUCCGCUUGGUAGAAGCAGCUGUGUCCUCACCCCUGCGGUCACCCAAGUUACCUGUCCCCUGGAGAACGGUGGCGCCCUGCUCGAGUUUCCCAAAACUCGCCUUUUGUGACUGUGUUAGCGUGAACUUGUGAGCCGAGUUUGCACUGAGAGCGCGAUAAACAGGUCUAAUUUUUUAAAAGUAUUUUUGCUGUUAACGUUGGAUCUUGGUAUAAAUGUCCAGAGACAGACCACUGAAGAUAUUAGGCGCUGAAAAUCCCCACCUAAUCAAUCAGACCAGUGGAUAAGCUAUAUGAGGGAAACCUCUUCCCCUCCUUAAUUAAGCCUCACCAAAAAACGCGUGCUGUACCAGGAAUCAUUUACAUAUAUUUAUUUAAUACUCACAAAAGUCCCAUGAGAUAGUAACCUUUUUAUUGUCCAUUUUACAUAUCUAGGCCUAUUGUCAGAGCUAGGACCAGAGCCCAGGUAACUUAGGUCUCUUCACAAUUAAAGUUGAUUCAGGCCGAAUGCGGUGACUCACGCCUGUAAUCCAAACAUUUUGGAAGUCCGAGGUGAGCGGAUCACCUGAAGUCAGGAGUUCGAGACCAGUCUGGUCAACAUGGUGAAACCCCACCUCUACUAAAAAUACAAAAAGUAGCCAGGUGUGGUGGCUCCUGCCUGCAAUCCCAACUACUUGGGAGGCUGAAGCAGGAGAAUCGCUUGAACCUGGGAGGCAAAGGUAGCAGUGAGCUGAGAUCGGGCCACUGCACUCCAGCCUGGGCGACAAAGCGAGACUCCCUCUCAAAAAAAGUAAUAAGGCCGGGCGCGGUGGCUCACGCCUGUAAUCCCAACACUUUGGGAGGCCGAGGCGGGAGGAUCACGAGGUCAAAAGAUCGAGACCAUCUUGGCCAACAUGGUGAAACCCUGUGUCUACUAAAAAUACAAAACUUAGCUGGGCUUGGUGGCGCGUGCCUGUAGUCCCAGCU